rnacentral:lncRNA from 1 species
AAUUUAUAGGAAUUAUCCGAUAUUUUUAUCCAAAAAUCCAAAUGUUAUUUUUACCUGAAUUAUUCGAAAUUAUCUCAAAAACGGGAACCAAACCAAAACCAAAUUAAAUCCAGAAUUUAUCAGAUUCUUAACAUUAUUAUCUGAACCAAACCGAAAACCAAAAUAACCAAAUUGAAACCGAUCCAAAUUGAUAAAUAACCGAACAAUACUUAUAUCUUUUGAAUCGAAAGACCAAAAACUACAGCUGAACUAGAACCAAACCAAAACCCCAAAAAUAAAAAUAAAAACAAAUUGAAAUCAAAUGGAAAAUCGAACGUCCACGCUUAGAGAUAUUAAUGAACAACCAGACGGGUUAAUAUAUUUCUUAACAAAAAAUAAUUCUGCGUUUUUAAAGUGCGGGUCAAUUCUAGUAGGUAAUUAUGAUCGAAAUUUAGGUUAGAUCUUAAUAUAUCUUUAGAUAUGGAAAAUUUUGUAUUUUGUCUAAAAGUUUUAAAUUUUAGAUAGAUUAUGCAUUCUGUGAUUUAUGGUACAAAUAAUUUAAAUUUGAAAUUUUUAUAGGUAAUUAUGCCAAUCCUUAAUUUGUGAAUGCUAAUCAGUCUCAAAAAAAAGAUAGAUUCUUAGAAGAUAACUUCUUAUAGGCUUCCAGUGAAUGGGAUAGAGUCAGAAAGGGCAUAGAGGAGUAAUUAAGCAAUGGCCAUGUGUUACCAAAAAAAAAAAAAAGCAAUGGCCAUACUUUAGAAAUAACGAAGAAGAGUACUGACUUUUGAUCAAAUAAAAGAAAGAAAAAAAAAAGAGUACUGACUACUGAGUGAUCCCCACCUGAAGAAAUAGACAAAUGGAAUCAUAAAUGAAGAUUCAUCCUUCUUUCUCUUGUAAUGCAUGUACUUUCCAAAAAAAAACUAUCCUAUUCGUAUCUCGACAAUCUUAACUGGCACCGUACUCAUAUAUGACCUUCCGUACCUCUCUCAUCAAUCAAUCAAUUUUUAAAAAAAUUAAUAUAGAGUUGAAAUAAAAGCUUGUUGGGUAGAAAAAAGAAUCAACAUUUAAUGGAUACCGGCUAAGCCAGAGAGAAAGUAGGGUCGUGAUUAAUUACUAAGACUCUUGUUUUGUGUUCAAAUAUAUAUAAAUGUGGAGAAAAUCAAGUGGUAGAGAUUUAAAGGAACGUACGGAGAAGUUUCAUCAAGGAUUAAAGAGUGUGUUGGAUGGUGUAG